rnacentral:rRNA from 1 species
CACGUAGGGCGCGAGCGUUGUCCGGAAUUAUUGGGCGUAAAGAGCUCGUAGGCGGCCUGUUGCGUCCGCUGUGAAAGCCCGGGGCUUAACCCCGGGUCUGCAGUGGAUACGGGCAGGCUAGAGGUAGGUAGGGGAGAAUGGAAUUCCCGGUGUAGCGGUGAAAUGCGCAGAUAUCGGGAGGAACACCGGUGGCGAAGGCGGUUCUCUGGGCCUGUACUGACGCUGAGGAGCGAAAGCGUGGGAGCGAACAGG